GGGAGCCACACGUCAUUUUUGGCUUUUCUGUAUUGGUGUGCGGGGCUGCUACGUGCUCGGCUUAGAGAAUUAGAAGGGUCCGUCUCUUUUUGCCCACUGGAGUCUGGCACUUGGGGCACUGCCUCCCUGUUGGUGGUGGUGGUGAUGGAGCUGUAGGAGGGAGGCUAGCAGUGGGAGCUUCUCCUGCUGGGCUGGAAGACAAGCAGAAGGAAGAGGCACCACCGCAUGCUGGAGGCUGGAGCCACGGCGGCUUGCCUCGCUGCGGUUGGUGGUGACAUCGGAGACCGCAGCUACGAGCUAAAGCAAGCUCAGUACUACUGGUGAUUUGGAAAGUGCCUUCAUAUUGUUUUUGCCAGUUCUCACCUGAGAACCCUGCAGAUGCCCCAUGAGAGGCUGUGCCCUUUACAAGGAGUCUCCAGUGAUACAGCUGAUUUUCCUCCAUACUCUAAUCCCCUUCAUGGCUGCAGCAUCAACAGAUUGCUCUCUUGAAUCUGACCCCAGUUGUUUUAUUAAUUAUACCCCUUUUUGUGACACAGGAAGGCUAAGAUGAAGCUGUCUUGGAUGGAAAAGAAUUCGUUCUCCUCACAUGGAAUAAAGAUCUUGAAAAGUAUUUUUUCUAUGUAGGGUCUGUCCGGACAAAGUUCUGGGCAUAUUUAUCAGAGAACAGUUCUCCUGAUAUCAGAGCCAUGAGGGAAUCUGUUUGGAUUCUCAUCUUGAGAACCCAGAAGUUUCUGGAGGGAAAUUUCAUAAAAGUGUGGGGUGCGUGGCCCCCAGGAGUUCUUACCCUACCCUAUCCACACUUGUCUGCUAGGCAUUUAUGGAAUUAUCAUGUAACUGUUUCCACCAGCUUGUGCUUUCAAUGGAAGAAUCACCCAAUUUAUAAAUUUAGAAAAGAAACUUUAUUUCUGAUAAAUGGGUGAAGCUGCAGGAUGGCCAUCUUAACAGGCCGGAAAGCAAAGCCUCCCACAGAGACAGUGAGCAGGCACUUCAAGAGAGGGAAAGGUGAGAAAUGAGUUCAUGCAAAUGGAUUGGCCAAGUGCACAUACUCAGCGGGCUAUAGAAGGAGCUAUGAAUAUUCACAUGGUGGGCAGGCUGUCAUGCAUAAUAAGCAAACACAGAUGUUACAUGCAUUUCAUGUUUGCUUUGGGGCGAGGACUUAAGAACUAAACAAAUUACAGUUGGGCCGUGUACAUCAAAAGGGCUUUGUGCAGAGGCAGAAGGACACACAGUGCACAGCCUCCAUAAUUUGGCAAGGACAAGUCCAUGGUGAGUGGUCUCUUCUCAGGAGAAAGUUACUGAAAUCAGUCCUUCUCCAUUCAAAGCUCUUUUUAUGGCUGUGGAACGGGCACAGUUACCCAGUGUCUUGAGUUCCAUGAGCUGCAAAUAUUUUAAUAUUCUUAUCGUAGGACCAGUGCUUUUUAGCUGCUAGAGAAAAUGAAAAGCCCUGUGGCAGUUACAACAUAGUCUAUUUUUUAAGUGUAGGAGUGAGUGACUUAAUUUUUGCUUGAUGUGGACUUGGGUCUUGUUUAUAAUUUGGUAUCUUAUUGCCACAACAAGAUUGUUCCAUCAGUCUGAUGAUCUCUAUUUUAAUGUCUUUCUAGUUUUUGGGUCUUGGUUUUCCCUGCAAUUUGAUUUCUUAAAUAGAUCCAAGAAGUUAUUGAUAAUCAAUUUUCCAGGCUUUCAUUGUUGUAGGAAUGUAGGGGAUGACUGACAUGCUCUUUACAUAUUAAAGUGGAAAACAGAAGUAGCUUCAGAGAUCACCAUUGACCUGACAAGCAGCAGGAAUCUCAUCUCGUUAAGUGUAAGUGGCACCACAGAUGUAGCUGAACAUGCAGUGACACAGAAGACCCACACCACAGAACACAUGAAAAAUUUUAUGAUUCUGAGGUUUUCUCCAGGAAGCUGGAACUCAGGUGGUACUACAGAGAUGGACUCAGUUAUCUCUCAGGUGAUACUAUGUUUUGGAAGCUUAUUUCCACUCCUGCACUGGACUCAUUAGCUGCACCUCGACCAGCACACCUAAAACAGAAACUCUCAAUAAUUAAGCACAAAACUCACCAAUAAUAAAGCUGUCCCCAGAGAAGGUGCAGAGCAGGGAACUCUGCUUUUGGGAACAUGCUGGUGUGCAGGGAGUGUCAGGAGCGUGACCCAUUUCCUUCUGCUCCCCCUGCUGGCUUCACAGACAACUGCAUCCAGGAGCUUUAUGUUGCAAAGUAUAUAAAAUAUGUUAUAAUUGUAGAGAAAUGUAAUACACAGAUUAAGGAAUGAGGAACGUACAUGAAAUUAAACAUAAUAUUAUCACGGAUAAGACAACAAACAAAUAUUAAAAACCUGUGUGUGUACGUGUUUGAGAUAGUAUUCUUGUAAAUUAAAUCAUAAUUUGUUUAUAAAGUCCUUCAACUAUGUACAAAAUCUUUGCCUUUGAUUGCCACAAAGAUGAAGAAGGAUGUGGCACCAGGACUCCAGGGCCAUGCUAGUGAUUUCCCCUCCUAUCUCCUGAGGACACGGUGCUUCCAACUCUGAGGAUCAGGAUGCUGAAAUUGGCUGUGUGAGAAGAGAAAAUGGGAUUUUCUGUGGGAACAGACUAGUGUGAAUGUAACUUUCAAGCAAGAAACCAGCUUCUGCUCUCUGACAUAUAUCACCUGGUUUGUGCCAAGAGCAUUAACCCUGGGAGCUCCUCCCAAAAAAAUGGUUGUGCACAGGGGAGAUGUUAAGCUAUGGCUGCUCCUGGGACUCAUCGGAGAUUCCUGAUGGGCAUCUGUAAUCAGGAAGUCAUCAACAGCCUUGCCGGACUUAACUUGCUCCACAGGUUAACUAGGAAGCACCACCAAACUCCCACAUUUCCCCAUCACUAGUUGUAAGACUGGCAUCCUGGCCUGACAGUGUCUACAGCCUCACCCAGCCUCCUGUGUGUUUUUCUGCCUGCCUUACUUACAUCUCACUUUGGGACAAAUAAGAAAUUUUUUAAAUAAACUUUUCUAAUCUAGAGACCUCAGUGGUAGGCACAGAAACACAAAUAUAGAGAGGCUCCCAGGGAAACUGUUCGAUGGAGAGGAAGCCACAGACCCUGAAGGAAAGCGGCCCUUGACCUUCAACUGCACCUGCCCUGGGGAUGCCCCUAACUUCUGUGGGAGUGAGUGCCCUCUGCAGCCCAGGCUCCUUCCUUCUCUCUGCAGGAUAUUUUGCGUUUUGGCUGACACUGGUGUUCCCUCACUUGGUACCUUAUGUACAAUAAUACGAGGCCAUGUUCUCAGCUCUGACUGUUCAUUCACAGGUACAGUGAGUUCUUGGCAUUGUCUUUGGAAA
rnacentral:lncRNA from 10 species